rnacentral:snRNA from 1 species
GUGCUCACUUUGGCAGCACGCACACUAAAACUGGAGCGAUACAGAGAAGAUUAGCAUGGCACCUGCACAAGGAUGACGUGCACAUUCAUGAAGUGUUCCACGCUUUU